GUUUGCACUCAUCGGGGAAGGGUGAGAACCUUCGACUAAGGUUCGACUCGAGCGAAAGCGAGAGAACGUUUUCACAGGCAACGGCCCGAAGGGU
rnacentral:sRNA from 1 species